rnacentral:rRNA from 1 species
GACGAACGCUGGCGGCGUGCUUAACACAUGCAAGUCGAGCGGGGAGACUUUGCGGCACCGACCGUUGAGGCGGGCGCGGCGCGGAGAUGGGAAGAGGCGAGCUUGAACGGACGCGGGGAACCGCGGAAGGGAGAGGGCCUUGGAACAAAGAAGCGGGGCGCAGGUCACAGGGGUGGGUGCUGUGAAGACUUCCAGCGGCGGACGGGUGAGUAACGCGUGAACAAUCUGUCCCAGACAGGGGGAUAACAGAUGGAAACAUCUGCUAAUACCGCAUAAGACCACGGGAUCGCAUGGUUUCGGGGUAAAAGGAGAAAUCCGGUUUGGGGUGAGUUCGCGUCUGAUUAGCUAGUUGGCGGGGUAAAGGGCCCACCAAGGCGACGAUCAGUAGCCGACCUGAGAGGGUGAUCGGCCACACUGGAACUGAGAAACGGUCCAGACUCCUACGGGAGGCAGCAGUGGGGAAUAUUGGGCAAUGGGCGAAAGCCUGACCCAGCAACGCCGCGUGAAGGAAGAAGGUUUUCGGAUU